GAAGUGCGAUUAGUUUGAAUUGUAGAAUUCCGUGGAUCAUCGAAUUUUUGAACGCAAAUUGCACUCUCUGGUAUUCCGGAGAGUAUGCCUGUUUGAGAGUCAUUAAAUAAAAAAUCGAUUUUGUUACUUGUCGUAACAUUUCGGAAUUGAGUGAUCUUAAAUCUUCAGGUUUAAGAGGUUAAAAUUGAUCAUUUUUGGUAUGAUUUAAGCGUAUUUAAGAUCUCUUAUCACGCGCUUGAUGAGUAUCGGAUGUUUAUUAGGCAUGACCAUGAUCAUGGUUUCUCGCCUAUAAUCUUUCAUGAAAUGACCUCAAAUCAGGUAGGAUUACCCGCUGAACUUAA
rnacentral:misc_RNA from 1 species